UGUUGGCCUGGUUCUGCUCUCCAGUAGUUCUCCAGUAGUGGUGGAGAGCUAAGGAGACCCGGAGCUGUGGAACCCAACCCUGAUAUUUCUCCGUCCCGGUGAUAAAAAUAUACAGUUAACAUGUGAAAAAUGAGAAACCUAGGAUCGAAAAACUAAACUAGAAAUUUUAUUUCGCAGUCGGAGAAGACUAAACUGAUGCCAACUCUAAGAAUAGCAAGGAGAACUGAUCACUUCUAGCUCCGCUGCCCAGAGUAAUCCCCCUGAAACCCCAAAACCUAUAAAAUGUGAAUUGUGAUCAUUUUAACCCUAGUACAAGGGGGGGAGGCAGGGAACUCCCAUGGUUACCGAAUAUUAAGGGACUCGGAGUGAUACACAGGUUUUGAAGGACGAGCUGUCUGCUCUUUAAGUCUCCGUGGGCUUUUAAAGUCCUGAUCAAUCAAAGUUUAAGAAGACAUAUUCUACAAGUAUGUAGAAGUGUACAGGAACCAAGACCUUGAUAACUAUCCACUGUUGUUAGCUGGUGGUUUACCAAAAUUCUGUCCAAUUUUGGCAGAUUUUUCCCCUCGUUCCGCGCAUUUCAGUUCAUGGGACAACCGCGCCAGAGUUUCCGACUGUUCCUCAGCUGUGAGCAGGGGUUCAUUCGGAUGUUUCCCAGAUUUCUUCAGUAGCUUGUUUUUUUGCAACCCUCUUUUUUU